rnacentral:rRNA from 1 species
GAUGAACGCUAGCGGCAGGCUUAAUACAUGCAAGUCGUGGGGCAGCAGGAGUAGCAAUACUUGCUGGCGACCGGCAAACGGGUGCGUAACACGUACGCAACCUUCCUACAGGCGGGGAAUAGCCCAGAGAAAUUUGGAUUAAUACCCCAUAAGAUUUUGGUAGUGGCAUCACUCUAUUAUUAAAGCUUCGGCACCUGAAGAUGGGCGUGCGGCUGAUUAGGUAGUUGGCGGGGUAACGGCCCACCAAGCCUUCGAUCAGUAGCUGAUGUGAGAGCAUGAUCAGCCACACGGGCACUGAGACACGGGCCCGACUCCUACGGGAGGCAGCAGUAAGGAAUAUUGGUCAAUGGACGAAAGUCUGAACCAGCCAUGCCGCGUGGAGGAUGAAGGUCCUCUGGAUUGUAAACUUCUUUUAUUUUGGGACGAAAAAAGGGACAUUCUUUGCUCACUUGACGGUACCAGAUGAAUAAGCACCGGCUAACUCCGUGCC